rnacentral:misc_RNA from 1 species
AACGCAUAUUGCGCUCUUUGGUAUUCCGAAGAGCAUGCUUGUUUGAGUAUCAGUAAACACCUCAAAGCCUUUUUUCUUUUUUGAAGAAAGGCUUUGGACUUGAGCAAUCCCAACACCAAUCUUUUAAAGAGAGGGGGCGGGUUGCUUGAAAUGCAGGUGCAGCUGGACAUUCUCCUGAGCUAAAAGCAUAUUCAUUUAGUCCCGUCAAACGGAUUAUUACUUUUGCUGCAGCUAAUAUAAAGGGAGUUUGACCAUUUUGGCUGACUUAUGCAGGAUUUUCACAAGAGUCUUCAAAACCUCUUGUUAAACUCGAUCUCAAAUCAAGUAAGACUACCCGCUGAACUUAA